UCCGUAGGUGAACCUGCGGAAGGAUCAUUUGUGAAUCUAGGACGUCCAACUUUACUUGGAGUCCGAACUCUCACUUUCUAACCCUGUGCAUCUGUUUAUUGGAAUAGUAGCUCUUCGGAGUGAACCACCAUUCACUUUUAAAACACAAAGUCUAUGAAUGUAUACAAAUUUUUAACAAAACAAAACUUUCAACAACGGAUCUCUUGGCUCUCGCAUCGAUGAAGAACGCAGCGAAAUGCGAUACGUAAUGUGAAUUGCAGAAUUCAGUGAAUCAUCGAAUCUUUGAACGCACCUUGCGCUCCCUGGUAUUCCGGGGAGCAUGCCUGUUUGAGUGUCAUGAAAUCUUCAACCCACCUCUUUCUUUGUGAAUCUGGUGGUGCUUGGUUUCUGAGCGCUGCUCUGCUUCGGCUUUGCUCGUUCGUAAUGCAUUUGCAUCCGCAACCGAACUUCGGAUUGACUUGGCGUAAUAGACUAUUCGCUGAGGAUUCUAGUUUUCUAGAGCCGAGUUGGGUUUAAGGAAGCUCCUAAUCCUAAAGUCUAUUUUUUGAUUUGAUCUCAAAUCAGGUAGGACUACCCGCUGAACUUUAGCAUAUCAAUAAGCGGAGGA
rnacentral:rRNA from 1 species